ACCAACCCUCUCUUGCUCUCGGUCUGCUUCCUCUGCUAGGGUUACUGUGCACAGGUGAGAAGUCAAAGAUGCUUAGUAGGUAGUAGUAUAUGUGUUGAGGUCAUAAGAACCAUGAAAAACUUGAGCUUGAUAAAAAAUAUAUAUAUAUAUAUAUAUAUUUUUAACUUUUGGACAUUUAAUUCAAUCCAACUGACUGUUCUUCUCUCAUCCAUUGCUUGUAUAUUUCUGAAUGGGGGGACCAUCUAUCUAAAAUUUUGAAUGAUGGCAGAAAAUUGUCCAUUUUGUCAUGUUUCCAGUAGCAAUUUAUACAACAACUCAAACAGUCAUCAACAGAGCAAUUUAUAGUAUUCAAUCUUUAGCGUACAACAAAAUCACUCCACAUUUUUUCAUUUGGCUUAGAAUCCUUCCAUUCUUAGUUGCACGUUCAACAAAGAAAACUGUUCCACCUUGGCUGUUCAAAUUGAGUCUAAGCAAUUUGAAUAACAUGUUACUGUAAUCAUAACCUACCAAUACAUGAUCCGAUUCAAUAACCUCACCCUCAAGGUCUUUCACCACAGGUAGAAUAACGCUGAUUCAUAAGCUGACAUUGAUAAUUGGCUUUCGUUCCUGAUCUUGACACCUUGAUCGAUUCCCAAAAUAUAGAAGUUAAUAAUCUAAGACAGUCAUGUCAGUAAGUGGAAGAUGCUCUGACUCAAGGCAUGGAGAAAUUGCAGUCGACUCUUGCUGAAACUGUUGCUGCAGGUCAACUGGUAGGAGGAGGUUACGUCCCAAAGGUACCUACUGCAACGGAGAAGUUGGAAGCUCUAGUCAGCUUUUCGAACCAGGUUGCUCGAGGCUUGCUUGCACUAGGAGAGUACUUCCAACGCCUUGAAGCUUUUAGUUCAAUUUGGGCCACCCAUCCUCAUGACACUGCCUAAUCUUAUAUCAGAAAAAAUCAACAAGCUCAAACUCUCUGGAAGAUCAUCACUGCUCAAACUUCAUUUCCUGAUUAGAGGUACCUCUGGACAUUGUUGUUAUAAACAUAAUUUGCAUACUUUAAAUUGCUGACAUUUUUGAAGCAGCCACAAGCAUCUAGGGAAAUUGUAAAUAUAGUCUUUUAACCGGGACGAAGUUUGUAAUUAAAUCAAUUUUUGAUGCAUGAUGUUCAUUUUUAUGAUCUUUUAAAACAUAUAUUUAGGGUUUAUGUUUUCGAGGUACCUUUGCAAUGUAGUCAUGUAAAUUUGUACAAGGCAACAGUCUUAUAAAUUAUUCAAUUAAAGUUAAUCUCAUCUAACCCUUGAUUAUUAUUACCAAUUUUGAAUGACAACUCUUGGAAAUGGUCGACUGUUAACUCUUGGAAAUGGUUGGCUGCGGACUCUAAUGCACUUUUAAAGAUCAAGGGGCAUUGAUGAAUAAUCCUAGAGAUGGCUUAGAUUCUAUCGCAUGGUUGCCGCAUCCAAUGGUCAGUUUUCUACGAAGUUGAUUUGGAAUGGGUUCAGGAGUAAGAAAAGAGAGGUUAAGUGGGCUGACCUUGUGUCACAAAAAACACAUUCCUAGACAAGCUAUUAUCCUCUGGUUGGCAAUUAAGCAGGGACUCAUGACUAGAGGCAAACUUGUCAAACUUGGACUCACAAAUAAUGCUAAAUGCGUGUUAUGUAAUCAUUAUGAUGAGGAUAUAAACCACAUUUUCUUCGGAUGUGAAUACAACAACUAUAUUUGGAAGACCAUUUUGAGGAAAAGUUUCUUGAGUUAUAAUGGGCAAAACUAGAACUCCUUUAUUGAUGAGAUUUCUUCGGAUUGGAAGGAGGUCAGUUAAAAUUCUUGAUGGGCAAGUUAAGCCUGGGCCUACUAGUUAUGCCAUUUGGAAGGAAAGAAACAACAGGAUUUUCUCUAAUCUUCUGCAGCCCAAAGAUAGAAUUGUGGAAAGGCUCAGAAGACUGGUAAGAUGCAGUUGAGGAGGUUCCAAUUCCUAGCAAUGGCUUUAUUGACAUUAGUAGGGGAAAAAUUUGAGAGGUCCCUCUUUCUGAUCUUUAGUCAAGUCCUAUUCUGUAGGCUUUGGUGCUGGUUGCAGUGGUCAAUAUUGAUAGCUUUUCCCCUCUCCAUUGCCUCAACUCUGCUGCUGGGAUUCUCUUCUGCUCUUUCCUGGUGGCUUUCGAAACCUGCCUUUUCGCUACUGUCUUCUGGAGCUUGAAUCUCCUGUUUCCUGGUGCUUGUGUUUGCUUCUAAAUUCUGAUCAGAAGCUUUUGCAUCAGUUUUCUGUGCUUCCCCUGUUUUUGCCAUUCAUUCCCCUGCUUCUCCUGCUGUUGUUCUCCUGGCCUCCCUUUUCCCCAGCUGUGGCUUGGUUUGGCGCCCUCAAAAAUUUCUCCUGGCCUGCUGCUUGGUUUCCUUGCAGUUGAGGCAUGCUUCUGGUCCUCAUGGACCUUCAGUCUUUGCUGGUCUGGUUGGCUUGAAUUCUUCCUGCAGGCUUUUCUUGCAUCUUCAAAUUUUUGCUCCUGGAUUGCUACAUCAUGAUAUGGUCCUCUGGUUUGGGCUUAAUUAUCCUCUGUUGAUGGGUUCUGGUCUGAAAUUCCUGAGCUGUAGUCCUAUGAGGAUCUUUGGAUACUGGUUUGUUGUAUGAUCAAGCAAGCUGAGUUUUGUCUCUCCGAGUAGAGCGUCAGAAUUCAUUGAGUUUGGAUUGUCUAUUGAUUUGGCCGGUGCUUCUGUCAUUUCCUGAUUUUGCUUUUGUCCAUUACGUCUGCUUCCUGGUGUUGGCACCUGCAUUUCCUCCUGAUGUGCUUUGUAGUGUUCUGCUUGCUGUGCUGGUUGUUCUCGGUUGUUGGCCUGGAGUGCUACAUUCGAGUUUGGAGCCAGUAGUCCGCUCUCUGCUGCUAUACCGUUUCUUUUGCAGGCUGAUACUGGUUUCUUGUCUGGUGCUGCUGGAGUCCGGAUAUGCAUCUGAACUCUCUGCCUCCUUGCUUGCUGCUGUGGUAGGGAUUUCUUUCCAGGUGUAAUGCAUUUCCCUGCUGCCCGAGGAUCUGCCUUGGCAUCUCUUUUGCUUGUUUCUGUGGCAGCUAUUUAUUUGUUGUCUUAGUUUGUGGAAGCUGUCCAAGUCAUUCGGCCUCAGCCUCAGCCUCAAUUUUCCAACAGUGUGGCUCCCGGGCCCUGGAUUAAUUUGUUGAGUUUAUGGGCUCCGUGAGUUUCUUUAGGAUGCAAUGUUUGUAUGCUAUAAUGUGUUGUAAUUCCUUAGCAUAUGUGUCAUGUUCUCUUUGUGUCUUGAUUGGACUCGUCUGUUUUGGCAGUGUAUUAUUGGCUAACCUCCUUGGGGAUGAGUUCAGGAUGUAUUGGGACUGUUUUUGCAAGAUUUUGUAAUAUAAAUAUUUACCUGUUUAAAAAAUAAAAUAAAAUUUUGAGUCA